AGAAGAUGUGGUACUUAUGCACAGUGGAAUAUUACUCAGCCAUGAAAAAGAAUGAAAUAAUGCCAUUUAUAGCAACAUGGAUGGGCCUAGAGAUUAUCAUACUAAGUGAAACUGAUCAAGGCCAAGUUCUUCAUACAAGAAUAAAGGCAACUUGCCGAUGAUGAGUUUUGGAUCUAAUGUGUUUUCCUGAAUUUGGAAAGACCUUUUAUGGACUCUGCAAUGCCUACAGCACAGAAGUAUAGAUUAUGGAUAUCCGGACACCUGACACGCGAGGGCAGACGGGAGGGCUCAGGUCUCAGCUCGCGCUCUCCUUGGCCAUACGAGAGGUUUCCUUCUCAAUCCAGCAAGGUUCCUGGCGACGGAGCACAAUCUUUCAGCAGUGCUGCAG